rnacentral:rRNA from 1 species
AUUGAACGCUGGCGGCAGGCCUAACACAUGCAAGUCGAACGAGUGGCGGACGGGUGAGUAAUGUCUGGGAAACUGCCUGAUGGAGGGGGAUAACUACUGGAAACGGUAGCUAAUACCGCAUACCAUCGGAUGUUCCCAGCUGGGAUUAGCUAGUAGGUGGGGUAACGUCUCACCUAGGCGACUAUCCCUAGCUGGUCUGAGAGGAUGACAAGCCAGACUGGAACUGAGACACGGUACAGACGCCUACGGGAGGCAGCAGUGGGGAAUAUGGCACAAUGGGCGCAAGACAGAUGCAGCCAUGCCGGGUGUAUGAAGAAGGCAUUCGGGUUGUAAAGUACUUUCAGCGGGGAGGCGUUACCCGCAGAAGAAGCACCGGCUAACUCCGUGCCAGCAGCCGCGGUAAUUC